rnacentral:rRNA from 1 species
CUGAAACCGUGUACGUACAAGCAGUGGGAGCACGCUUAGGCGUGUGACUGCGUACCUUUUGUAUAAUGGGUCAGCGACUUAUAUUCUGUAGCAAGGUUAACCGAAUAGGGGAGCCGAAGGGAAACCGAGUCUUAACUGGGCGUUAAGUUGCAGGGUAUAGACCCGAAACCCGGUGAUCUAGCCAUGGGCAGGUUGAAGGUUGGGUAACACUAACUGGAGGACCGAACCGACUAAUGUUGAAAAAUUAGCGGAUGACUUGUGGCUGGGGGUGAAAGGCCAAUCAAACCGGGAGAUAGCUGGUUCUCCCCGAAAGCUAUUUAGGUAGCGCCUCGUGAAUUCAUCUCCGGGGGUAGAGCACUGUUUCGGCAAGGGGGUCAUCCCGACUUACCAACCCGAUGCAAACUGCGAAUACCGGAGAAUGUUAUCACGGGAGACACACGGCGGGUGCUAACGUCCGUCGUGAAGAGGGAAACAACCCAGACCGCCAGCUAAGGUCCCAAAGUCAUGGUUAAGUGGGAAACGAUGUGGGAAGGCCCAGACAGCCAGGAUGUUGGCUUAGAAGCAGCCAUCAUUUAAAGAAAGCGUAAUAGCUCACUGGUCGAGUCGGCCUGCGCGGAAGAUGUAACGGGGCUAAACCAUGCACCGAAGCUGCGGCAGCGACGCUUAUGCGUUGUUGGGUAGGGGAGCGUUCUGUAAGCCUGCGAAGGUGUGCUGUGAGGCAUGCUGGAGGUAUCAGAAGUGCGAAUGCUGACAUAAGUAACGAUAAAGCGGGUGAAAAGCCCGCUCGCCGGAAGACCAAGGGUUCCUGUCCAACGUUAAUCGGGGCAGGGUGAGUCGACCCCUAAGGCGAGGCCGAAAGGCGUAGUCGAUGGGAAACAGGUUAAUAUUCCUGUACUUGGUGUUACUGCGAAGGGGGGACGGAGAAGGCUAUGUUGGCCGGGCGACGGUUGUCCCGGUUUAAGCGUGUAGGCUGGUUUUCCAGGCAAAUCCGGAAAAUCAAGGCUGAGGCGUGAUGACGAGGCACUACGGUGCUGAAGCAACAAAUGCCAUGCUUCCAGGAAAAGCCUCUAAGCAUCAGGUAACAUCAAAUCGUACCCCAAACCGACACAGGUGGUCAGGUAGAGAAUACCAAGGCGCUUGAGAGAACUCGGGUGAAGGAACUAGGCAAAAUGGUGCCGUAACUUCGGGAGAAGGCACGCUGAUAUGUAGGUGAAGCGACUUGCUCGUGGAGCUGAAAUCAGUCGAAGAUACCAGCUGGCUGCAACUGUUUAUUAAAAACACAGCACUGUGCAAACACGAAAGUGGACGUAUACGGUGUGACGCCUGCCCGGUGCCGGAAGGUUAAUUGAUGGGGUCAGCGCAAGCGAAGCUCUUGAUCGAAGCCCCGGUAAACGGCGGCCGUAACUAUAACGGUCCUAAGGUAGCGAAAUUCCUUGUCGGGUAAGUUCCGACCUGCACGAAUGGCGUAAUGAUGGCCAGGCUGUCUCCACCCGAGACUCAGUGAAAUUGAACUCGCUGUGAAGAUGCAGUGUACCCGCGGCAAGACGGAAAGACCCCGUGAACCUUUACUAUAGCUUGACACUGAACAUUGAGCCUUGAUGUGUAGGAUAGGUGGGAGGCUUUGAAGUGUGGACGCCAGUCUGCAUGGAGCCGACCUUGAAAUACCACCCUUUAAUGUUUGAUGUUCUAACGUUGACCCGUAAUCCGGGUUGCGGACAGUGUCUGGUGGGUAGUUUGACUGGGGCGGUCUCCUCCUAAAGAGUAACGGAGGAGCACGAAGGUUGGCUAAUCCUGGUCGGACAUCAGGAGGUUAGUGCAAUGGCAUAAGCCAGCUUGACUGCGAGCGUGACGGCGCGAGCAGGUGCGAAAGCAGGUCAUAGUGAUCCGGUGGUUCUGAAUGGAAGGGCCAUCGCUCAACGGAUAAAAGGUACUCCGGGGAUAACAGGCUGAUACCGCCCAAGAGUUCAUAUCGACGGCGGUGUUUGGCACCUCGAUGUCGGCUCAUCACAUCCUGGGGCUGAAGUAGGUCCCAAGGGUAUGGCUGUUCGCCAUUUAAAGUGGUACGCGAGCUGGGUUUAGAACGUCGUGAGACAGUUCGGUCCCUAUCUGCCGUGGGCGCUGGAGAACUGAGGGGGGCUGCUCCUAGUACGAGAGGACCGGAGUGGACGCAUCACUGGUGUUCGGGUUGUCAUGCCAAUGGCACUGCCCGGUAGCUAAAUGCGGAAGAGAUAAGUGCUGAAAGCAUCUAAGCACGAAACUUGCCCCGAGAUGAGUUCUCCCUGACUCCUUGAGAGUCCUGAAGGAACGUUGAAGACGACGACGUUGAUAGGCCGGGUGUGUAAGCGCAGCGAUGCGUUGAGCUAACCGGUACUAAUGAACCGUGAGG